UUAGAUAUUAAUUGGAGGAAAAAGGUUGAAGAUAUAAUGCCCAUUGCUACUGGACACGAGCUUGAGGACCUUGAAGCUGAGUUUCAGGGAAGAAACGUUCUCGAAUCAUUCAUCCAGGUAGCCCUUGGGGUACCAAGGUCAGUCGGUAUCCAUUAAAUUUACACCUCGAACUCUUAUUUAAUGAGCGUAUCAGCUGAUUAACGGUUGAGAAGCACGCAUGCCUUCAAUAAUUUACAGGUUUAAGUAUUUUCGGUACCGAUGAAGUUGAAAAAUGUGAACAUGAUGAGCAAACUGAAAAUGUACAUACAUCAUUAAUUUACUUGUGUUCAUUUCAUACUAUACAAUCUUGAUUAAAGAAUUUCAAUGGUAGCCUCUUGUACUGUGCUUAUGUAAAGAUAGUGAUCGGAUUCGAUAGGAGCUGUUGGAGCUUGAAUCAAAUGAGUUGAGUUUGAGUCAAAGAUUGAGUAUAUUUUCAUAAAUGAGUUGAAUUCAAACCAUUUCACAUAUUUGAAUUCAAAGUGACUUUGAUCAAAUCUAAAAUUAAAUUAUUUUUUACUUUUAACGCAUUGAUCUUGGAUUGACUCUUUUGGAUUUGAAUUGAUUUUGAAUUAGGUCAUUAUUCAAAUUUGACUCAGAUCAAAUCCAACUCAGCUGCACAAAUUUUGUGCUUCCUAAUUUUCUUAUUGUAGUAAGCACCAGCGAUUUUAAAGUAUGUGCAUGAUAAAAGAAUAGUAGGAUGUCCUGGUGGCGAGGGAGGAAAGGCAAGCCUCAUGACGAUGCCCAGUCUGUUCUCACCACUUUGUAAGGCAAUGUGGCAACUACAGCUGGACAUGGUCAGCUCUGGAGGUCCACCAGGAGGCCAUGGAGACAAUGACCAUCAUUUAUCUGGCUUGCUAGUUUAUUUUUUAAUAAGGUUUUAUCAAUUGUUGAGUUGACUGUCUGCUACCUUCUACAGGCGGAAUACCUUUUCUUCUGUUCCUUUCUUGGUGGAUGGAUCCAUACUGAGUUUACAGUGUCUAACAAUGGUUGGGUUUAUGACUUUUUGGAUUUAUGACCUUGUUAUCCAAAGGACCACAGGAUUCAUUUUAUCAGUAUUCAGUGCAUUACAAAAUUAUGGAUGGCUACAUAUUGAUUCCUUCAAAUUGUUUUGCCUUGAAUAUUCUGUAUGUGCUGUUUAGCACUUUCUUUAUAUCUUCUUCUGUACAUGAUAGUAAUGUGGCUAUUCUGAUACAUUCAGGAGGUAACACCAGGGACAGGGUGUUAUGGAUGAUGCAUGAGUCAACCGGUAGUGCUGAAUCCAUCUGAACACUCUCCAAACCCUAGCUUCCAUCAUUGAAGUUCAUUGUUCCAAAUCCUGUACUGUACCAGCCAGUCGAACUGAUUCAAUUGCAGCCAGUCCAGUCCACAUUUGGAGACAUCAACAUGAUUGUUUGCAAAAUUUUUAAUUGCUGGGAACCAAGUCCAUCAGGUAAGAAAUAUGCAUCAGAUAUCACUAAUCCUCAUUUCAGGUUGGUUGAAUAUUAUUAAAAUGUUCAUUUAUACAUUUCACUAGUCUGACUGCUGGAAAAUUCUGAAUAUGAUGAAUAGUUGAGUUGUAGAUAUGAAGGUAUUGGAUAAAACCAGAAAACUUGAUCUUUUCAAUUCAUUCCAAGCCAGGCAUGUCAACAAGAAGUGGGUGGGGGCAAUGAUGUUGAAAAUUGCCAUUAUCAUGUUCGAAUAUAUGAGGAUAAAUUAGGUGCAGUUCGGUAUGUCUUCCACAUUGUCCCACGUGAUGAUGAUGAAAAUGAAGAGUAUCUAAAAUUAUAAUAAUUAUUAAUUGAAUCACAAAUUAACAGUGAAGACACAAUGAAAAUGAGCAUAAGAUAAAAAGGGUGUUGAAUUGAUUAAUCAAAGAAUAAAAUUAGGGUUCUUGUU